rnacentral:rRNA from 1 species
UACGUAGGGUGCAAGCGUUGUCCGGAAUUAUUGGGCGUAAAGAGCUCGUAGGCGGUCUGUCGCGUCUGCUGUGAAAACUCGGGGCUUAACCCCGGGCCUGCAGUGGGCACGCGCAGACUAGAGUGCGGUAGGGGAGACUGGAAUUCCUGGUGUAGCGGUGAAAUGCGCAGAUAUCAGGAGGAACACCGGUGGCGAAGGCGGGUCUCUGGGCCGUAACUGACGCUGAGGGGCGAAAGCAUGGGGAGCGAACAGG